rnacentral:rRNA from 1 species
CCCUUGGAUGUUCUGGGCUGCACGCGUGCUACAAUGGCGCUUGCAACAAGUCUUGCCAACCCGAUAGGGUGAGCGGAUCUUUGAAGAGGCGUCGUGAUCGGGACAGUUGAUUGCAAUUAUUCGACUCGAACGAGGAAUUCCUUGUAAUCGCGGUUGAUCAGCUCGCGUUGAAUACGUCCCUGCCCUUUGUACACACCGCCCGUCGCUCCUACCGAUGAAUCGUCCGGUGAAGUUCACAGAGUGGCGGUUCGUGGAGUUGCUCGCGAAGUGAAAUGGACCUCACGAUUUAGAGGAAGGAGAAGUCGUAACA